CUGAUAUUAUGGCGGAGGGUGAGUAACAGUGGGCAACCUUCCUUACAGAUGGGAUAACUCCGAGAAACUAGGGCUAAUUCCGCUUAAUCAGCUUGUGCGCAUGGACUGACUGCGAAAGACGGUUUCGGCUGUCACUGUUAGAUGAGCCCACGUCGCAUUAGCUAGUUGGUGGGGUAAUGGCCUACCAAGGCGACGAUGCGUAGCCGAUCUGAGAGGAUGAUCGGCCACACUGGGACUGAGACACGGUCCAGACUCCUACGGGAGGCAGCAGUAGGGAAUCUUCCACAAUGGACGCAAGUCUGAUCGAGCAAUGCCGCGUGAGCGAAGAAGGUUUUCGGAUCGUAAAGCUCUGUUGUAAGGGAAGAACAGCUAUGGGAGUAUCUUCCCGUACUUUGACGGUACCUUAUUAGAAAGCCCCGGCUAACUUCGUGCCAGCAGCCGCGGUAAUACGUAGGUGGCAAGCGUUGUCCGGAAUUAUUGGGCGUAAAGCGCGCGCAGGCGGUCCUUUAAGUCUGAUGUGAAAGCCCACGGCUCAACCGUGGAGGGUCAUUGGAAACUGGGGGACUUGAGUACAGAAGAGGAAAGCGGAAUUCCACGUGUAGCGGUGAAAUGCGUAGAGAUGUGGAGGAACACCAGUGGCGAAGGCGGCUUUCUGGUCCGUCACUGACGCUGAGGCACGAAAGCGUGGGGAGCAAACAGGAUUAGAUACCCUGGUAGUCCACG
rnacentral:rRNA from 1 species